CAUCAAACCCCGAAAUCCAAGACAAAGCCCAUGUUUUAUGUAUUGAAAUUUAGAUCUUAAAUUCAUAAUUUUAGAUCUUAUAAUUUCAAAUCUUAAUUCUUAAUUAAGUGCAUUAUGUACAUGAAUUUAGAUUUAGAUCUUGAAAUAUUUUCUAAUCUAAACUAUUUAUAUUGUAUCCUAUACAAUAUGAUUGUUUGUGUAGUCGAAUCGAUUCAUCCUGGUACAUGAAUCGAUUUGUCACAGUG
rnacentral:lncRNA from 1 species